UACGGGGGGAGCAAGCGUUGUUCGGAUUUACUGGGCGUAAAGGGCGCGUAGGCGGUCAGCACAAGUCAGUUGUGAAAUCUCCGGGCUUAACUCGGAAAGGUCAACUGAUACUGUGCGACUAGAGUGCAGAAGGGGCAACUGGAAUUCUCGGUGUAGCGGUGAAAUGCGUAGAUAUCGAGAGGAACACCUGCGGCGAAGGCGGGUUGCUGGGCUGACACUGACGCUGAGGAGCGAAAGCGUGGGGAGCAAACAGG
rnacentral:rRNA from 1 species